rnacentral:rRNA from 1 species
AUUGAACGCUGGCGGCAGGCCUAACACAUGCAAGUCGAGCGGAGCGGCGGACGGGUGAGUAAUGCCUAGGAAUCUGCCUGGUAGUGGGGGAUAACGUCCGGAAACGGGCGCUAAUACCGCAUACUAUCAGAUGAGCCUAGGUCGGAUUAGCUAGUUGGAGGGGUAAAGGCCUACCAAGGCGACGAUCCGUAGCUGGUCUGAGAGGAUGAUCAGUCGCACUGGAACUGAGACACGGUCCAGGCUCCUAGGGGAGGCAGCAGUGGGGAAUAUUGGACAAUUGGCGAAAGCAUGAUCCAGCCAAGCCGAGUGUGUGAAGAAGGUCUUCGGUUUGUAAAGCACUUUAAGUUGUGAGACUUUACCAACAGAAUAAGCACCGGCGAACUACGUGCCAGCAGCCGAGGUAAUUC